AUUGAACGCUGGCGGUAGGCUUAACACAUGCAAGUCGUGCGAGAAAGUAUCUUCGGAUAUGGGUAGAGCGGCGGACGGGUGAGUAACGCGUAGGAAUCUACCUAGUAGAAGGGGAUAGCCCGGGGAAACCCGGAUUAAUACCGUAUACCUCCUUCGGGAGAAAGAAGGCCUCUCUUUGAAGCUUUCGCUAUUAGAUGAGCCUGCGUAAGAUUAGCUUGUUGGUGAGGUAAAGGCUCACCAAGGCGACGAUCUUUAGCUGGUCUGAGAGGACGAUCAGCCACAUUGGGACUGAGACACGGCCCAGACUCCUACGGGAGGCAGCAGUGGGGAAUAUUGGACAAUGGGCGCAAGCCUGAUCCAGCCAUACCGCGUGUGUGAAGAAGGCCUUCGGGUUGUAAAGCACUUUAAGCAGGGAGAAAAAGUUAUAAGUUAAUACCUUAUAACCCUGAUGUUACCUGCAGAAUAAGCACCGGCUAAUUCCGUGCCAGCAGCCGCGGUAAUACGGAAGGUGCAAGCGUUAAUCGGAAUUACUGGGCGUAAAGCGCGCGUAGGUGGUUUGUUAAGUUGGAUGUGAAAGCCCUGGGCUCAACCUAGGAACUGCAUCCAAAACUAACUCACUAGAGUACGAUAGAGGGAGGUAGAAUUCAUAGUGUAGCGGUGGAAUGCGUAGAUAUUAUGAAGAAUACCAGUGGCGAAGGCGGCCUCCUGGAUCUGUACUGACACUGAGGUGCGAAAGCGUGGGUAGCGAACAGGAUUAGAUACCCUGGUAGUCCACGCCGUAAACGAUGACAACUAGCUGUUGGGAGACUAUGUCUUUCAGUGGCGCAGCUAACGCUUUAAGUUGUCCGCCUGGGGAGUACGGCCGCAAGGCUAAAGCUCAAAUGAAUUGACGGGGACCCGCACAAGCGGUGGAGCAUGUGGUUUAAUUCGAUGCAACGCGAAAAACCUUACCUACUCUUGACAUACUUGGAGGCUCUUGUAAUGAGAGUGUGCCUUUUGGAACCAAGAUACAGGUGCUGCAUGGCUGUCGUCAGCUCGUGUCGUGAGAUGUUCCGUUAAGUCGGAUAACGAGCGCAACCCUUACCCUUAUUUGCCAGCGAUUCGGUCGGGAACUAUAAGGGGACUGCCGGUGAUAAACCGGAGGAAGGUGAGGACGACGUCAAGUCAUCAUGGCCCUUACGAGUAGGGCUACACACGUGCUACAAUGGGAGAUACAGACGGACGCUAAGCCGCGAGGUGGUGCUAAUCCUAAAAAGUCUUUCGUAGUCCGGAUUGGAGUCUGCAACUCGACUCCAUGAAGUCGGAAUCGCUAGUAAUCGCGGAUCAGCAUGCCGCGGUGAAUACGUUCUCGGGUCU
rnacentral:rRNA from 1 species